rnacentral:rRNA from 1 species
GACGAACGCUGGCGGCGUGCUUAACACAUGCAAGUCGAACGGAAAGGCCCUGCUUUUGUGGGGUGCUCGAGUGGCGAACGGGUGAGUAACACGUGAGUAACCUGCCCUUGACUUUGGGAUAACUUCAGGAAACUGGGGCUAAUACCGGAUAGGAGCUCCUGCUGCAUGGUGUGGGGUGGAGAGUUUCGGCGGUUGGGGAUGGACUCGCGGCUUAUCAGCUUGUUGGUGGGGUAGUGGCUUACCAAGGCUUUGACGGGUAGCCGGCCUGAGAGGGUGACCGGCCACAUUGGGACUGAGAUACGGCCCAGACUCCUACGGGAGGCAGCAGUGGGGAAUAUUGCACAAUGGGCGGAAGCCUGAUGCAGCAACGCCGCGUGCGGGAUGACGGCCUUCGGGUUGUAAACCGCUUUCGCCUGUGACGAAGCGUGAGUGACGGUAAUGGGUAAAGAAGCACCGGCUAACUACGUG